ACCGUCUCCACCCACACGAGCCGCCAUGGAGCACGAGCAGCCGCCAAACCCUAACAGAGGGCAACGCCUAGAUCGACCCACAGCUCUUGGUGGUGGCUUGAAAAAGAAGCGCAGCCCAUACUGACACUAUUCUUCUCAACGGCGGAGCCUAAGCCAAGUUGCUGAUUUGGUUGGUAAUUCUCGGGAAACUAUGAGGUGCCUACAGAUCGCCUCAGAUGCUAAAUUGAGAUUGAGCAUUUUCGCAAAGCUCUAUUUGGUGCUGAGCAGGUCUUUCUCUCAGCCUACUAAGCUCACUGAUUCUCUUGCAAACAUCAACAAGGCUGACCAGCUGAUUAGGCAUGUUUGGUCUUGUUUUGAUACUUUGGUCUUGUUGUGGUCCAUGAGAAACCUGUUGCUCUUAGUUCUCUGGAUACAUGUAUGCUUCAGUACCUCUUUCUAGAGUACUUGCAGGUUCCUAUGGUGAAUGAUUACCUUGAUUCAUGGGGAUAAAUAAGUGUUCGCCCAGAUUGAAUGUGGGGAAUUGGGAAAUUGCGGUGCUACUGUGAGGAGGCAAAGUGUGCAUCGGUUGGUUGGAAAUUGUGCACCAUAGUGCGCCCAUGGUGGUGUUAUUUAGAUGAACCUAUCAACUGUGAUAUUAAGGAAGUCGGUCUAGAGCAAGUUCUCGGAAAAAAUAGGUUGGCACUCAGGUGUUUUCAUGUUCUACCAUAUAUGAGACCUGGUUAUGUGAUAAGAAGCAUCUCCACAAUUAGUAAUACAUGUCUAGCAUUCUAGAGUUCAUGUUGUUCAUCAUGGGAGAGGAUUCCAUUGUCAUGUUACCUUUCUUGCAUUAAAUUCCCAUGUGCGAUCCCUCUGAUUUACAUGUUUAGGCGAGGUCCUUGCAGUUGGAUAUCAAAAUGGUCAGGUGGCUAUUUUUGAUGCAAGUCAACUGUCAAUGAUGUCCCCUGUGGAUUGUGCAUUGUGCUAGAUCUAUCUUAGAAAGGUCGGCUCUGAAAUAAUCUUCCUGCUGACACCGCCAUUGGUUGUGAAGCCUCCUGGACCUAGCGAUUGCAAGAGUACCACCGUUUCAGAUGUCAAGAGGGCCUUGUUUGGGAAACCAUGUCUGAGCGUGGGUCUAAAACUGUGGAAGAGUUAGCUCCUCAUCCUCAGUCUGAAAAGUUGAUUACGUGCAUAUUAACUAUUUGUGCUCAUAUUAUUGCAUUAGAUUAUUUUUCAUAUGAGUUGUUCGCCUUCUAUGUCAAGUUGGUCAGGCUGUAAUUGAUGCUCCAGAUUCUCACCUGCCUCAUCCACCGCAACGACAGGCAAAACUUCUGGGCUUCCGUCUUUUUUAUAUUCAUCUAAUCGUUUUGUUGAUUUUGCGCUUUUUGUACAACAUGUUGCAGAUAUAUAUGUUGUGGAUCAUGCUGAGAACAGAUCAUUUAACUGGAGUUCUGUACCUGUCAUGUUCAAGUUGCUGAAUUACUGAAAGAAGGAGCUAAGGUGGAUGCUGCUGAUUUAUAUGGCUAUCAGGUCUGUAUAUAGACUUCUCUUCUGCGUCUUUGGCCCCGUGUUUGCUUUUGGGUAUCCAACAUUGGUUCCCAACUAAGAAAACUAUGUAUUGUUGAAUAUUUGUGUGCCCAAGUGACCAGUUAUUAUAUCUUGCCAAAGAAUAUGGCAACAAAGUGGCCCCCCUUGAUUUCAUCAGGUUCGUAUUACAUACGCCGUAUGCUCCCACAGUUGUAGAACCUUGUGUGACAAAGUACACUAAAUAGAAGAUAUUCAAAUUAACAAAUUAAAUUAAUGAUCUCCUUGCAAAAAAAGGAACAAGGACAAAAAAAUAACUAAGUCACUAAAUUAGUUGUCAAACAUCAUAGUCAGUUAUGAAGUCAAAGCGAGAUACUACUAGAGUUGUUUUGUGGUACCCUGUCUGUGAGUUACAGGGUCGGAGAUAUGCAGAUAUAAAUGUUGUGUAAAGUUGGAUUAUAUGACUGACAUUAAGCGGUGCAUCCUGAGUGCCUCACUGGUCUUCCAGGACAAACACUUAAAAGGUGGAAAUUGCCAUAUUUUUUAUGUACUCUUCUUACAAGAUAUUUCAUUGGUUCAUGUCUAGACAUACUUUUAUUAGUUUGAUUAUAAUAUAAUUGCAUCUUAAUCUGUACUUGUCGUAGGCUCCGUGGGAUUUGAUGAUGUGAAUGUGCGAAAUCAAGCUAUAAAUUUCUCCCAAGAUGCACACGACUAAUCAAAUCUCAGAAUAUCUUGACAGAUUCUCCGUGGAGUUUUUGUGUAUGGUUAACUCUUGGACGGAAGUGGUUCGACUCCACCAAGAUUCUUUAAUUCUCGGAACCGCGUGGAUAUUUCAAAUACUGUAGAAUGGACAAGUGGAUUCUUUGCAUGUAUACAAAAUUUGAUUUAUAACCCAGGCAGUGUAUCUCCAUUUCCCUUUGCUAACCCAUUUUUUUAUGCAUACACAGCCAUCGAAGAAGGCACAUAUGGAGACAUAGAUCAAGAAGAAAACCGAACUAUCAUCCUCAUAUGGGCUCGGUGUUAGACAACCAUUUUAGGUGACACCAUUCCUCUUUUGUUUGUUUACCAGCCUCUGAUUCCAGCCUGUCAUGUUAUAAACUUCUAAUGGAUGUUGGUGAUGUGUUCUUCGCAUGCCCUGGACUAUGAAUAAUUUGUUAUUUCUUUUAUGGUUGUAUUGUACAUUUGAAGUAGGUGCCCACUGCCUGAUAUGGGUAGUAGAAUUGGUUACCUUAUGUUACCAAGUUUCAUGUUUAUUGGACCUUGGUAGACUGGUGUAACCUAUGUAUGUGCUUGUUCCAGUUAUGUGAAUUCUUAACUCUUCGGUACAUUUUAUUUAUGAAUAGUGAGCACCAUGUACGAUGCCUGGUUCUAAA